CAGCAGCCGCGGGAAUACGAAGGGUGCAAGCGUUAAUCGGAAUUACUGGGCGUAAAGCGUGCGUAGGCGGUGAGUUAAGUCUGCUGUGAAAUCCCCGGGCUCAACCUGGGAAUGGCAGUGGAUACUGGCUCGCUAGAGUGUGUCAGAGGAUGGUGGAAUUCCCGGUGUAGCGGUGAAAUGCGUAGAGAUCGGGAGGAACAUCAGUGGCGAAGGCGGCCAUCUGGGACAACACUGACGCUGAGGCACGAAAGCGUGGGGGGCAAACAGGAUUAGAUACCCCGGUAGUCCCUGUCUCUUAUAC
rnacentral:rRNA from 1 species